rnacentral:pre_miRNA from 2 species
UUAAUACUUCUUUCGUCUGAAAAUAUUUGUCAUUAAUAGAUGUAUGUAGAUGUAUUUUAAUUCUUGAUACAUUCAUUUUUAUUCAUUUAUGUGACAAAUAAUUUCGAACGGAGGGAGUAUAUA